UACGUACUAUCUCCGUCCGGAAAUACUUGUCAUUAAAAUAGAUGAAAAAAGAUGUAUCUAGAACUAAAAUACGUCUAGAUACAUCCCCUUUUAUCCAUUUUGAUGACAAGUAUUUCCGGACGGAGGGAAGGGAGUACUUA
rfam:Triticum aestivum genome assembly, contig: Triticum_aestivum_CS42_TGACv1_scaffold_329651_4BS